GGAGGGUGUAGCUCAGUGGUAGAGCACAUGCUUCGCAGGCACGAGGUCCUGGGUUCAAUCCCCAGUCCCUCCA